rnacentral:lncRNA from 1 species
UUUUUUUUUUUUGGUUUUUUUCCCACAGCAUAUGGAGAUAUGGAGGUUCCCAGCCCUAAAAAGCAAAAAAAUUAAAAUAAUUUUAAAAUAAAAAAAAAUUUAAAAAUAGGAAAAGAAAGAGCCAGACCAAAGAUGAGAGCAUCAAGAGACACUUGGCACUGGAUCAGGCGGGGCACAGGAAGAUGAAUGGGGCAUCCUGCUGCUCUUUACUCCUCUGGUUGUAUCUCUCCCUACUUCUGUUUCAGUUUCUCUCCCAUCUGUCUCUGCCUUAGCUAUUAUUUCCCUAGUCUCUCAGUCUCUCUUUGCCUCCUGUCCUUUCAAUGGGCUUUCAUCCUAGUUCCACCUGGCAGCAGCCAAGAAUACCUAGGACUCCUAGGUUCUGCCACUCAGCGACCCCAUCUCAAUACUCUGGGCUCUUCUAUACUAGCUACAUUAGGAAGGAGUGGGUGUCCCUGCUCUAGCAGAGAUAGAGUAAGUUUGGUGGGGAGGGGGCUGGUUUGGUCGGCUGCAUGCAGGGUGGUGAUGUCCAUCACUGCUCUGUGCGAGAGGCUGCGUGUAGGAGAGUGAGGGGCUGGCAUGGCAGGGUGUGACGCUGGUCCUCUUCAUGCAAGACAAUACGUGCGCACACACAUGAUGAGCACAGGUGUCAGGGAAGUGAGGAAGUAGGCAACCAGGGCAGCCGGCAGCCUAGGGCAUCUCUGGCAAUUUCCCCAAUGGAGUGUUUAACCACAAAGGGAAGAGCAAUUAAAGCUAAUCGUUCUGACAGCCUGGAGGCCAGACACGGGGGAAACAAAACAAAUUCAGCAUGUUUCCCCUAACUCCCGGUGGUCUUGCCCCCAUCCUGCUUUCAUCCUCGCUAAUUUCUGAACUGCCCUCCAUUCCUAACGUUCGCUCUUCCUCUCCCUCUUCCCUGAUGGCAUCUCUGUCCCUCCGUGUCCCUCUCUUGAUAUCUAUCUCCCUUUCACACACAUUCCCCUCAUUCUCUCUCUCUGACUUGGGCUCCAUCCUUGGCUGACUCAUACUCAUUCUUCCCCCUCUCUGUUUCUUCCACCCCUUCCUCCAUCCUUUGGCCACUCACAUGCUCAGAAGCCAGCCACUCCCAGCACCCUAAGCUCCAACUGGACCCAGCAAGAGAGGCCACCAGCAGCCCCUUCCCUCCCUACUCACCCAGUUUCAGAGCACCAAGCUCACUCACCCUCAACAUCCUGUCUCUCUGUCCUCAAGUGUGACCGGGAUUUUCUACCAUCUUUUCUCACUGCUUUAAAGAGGGGCCAUCCGAAGCCAAGGGCUCGGAGAAGAUGCUCAGAAAAUUAGGGUGGACCCGACGACAGUGGUUCCCACUUAGCUAGCUGUCCUAUUAGACUGAUGUUCUUCCAAGCAGUGGGAGUGAGGUGGGGGCUUGGAUGCGUAGUGCAGGGGCGUUUGUGAUUUGCUGUGUGCAGUCGAUGUGUGUAAGAGUCACAUGGGUGUGUGUCACCGUGU